rnacentral:rRNA from 1 species
AUUGAACGCUGGCGGCAUGCCUAACACAUGCAAGUCGAGCGGAUGAAGGGAGCUUGCUCCUGGAUUCAGCGGCGGACGGGUGAGUAAUGCCUAUGAAUCUGCCUGGUAGUGGGGGAUAACGUCCUGAAACGGGCGCUAAUACUGCAUACGACCUGAGGGAGCAAGUGGGUGAGCUUCGGAUCUCACGCUAUCAGAUGAGCGUAGGUCGGCUUAGCUAGUUGGUGGGGUAAAGGCUUACCAAGGCGACGAUCCGUAACUGGUCUGAGAGGAUGAUCAGUCACACUGGAAGUGAGACAGGGUCCAGACUCCUACGGGAGGCAGCAGUGGGGAAUAUUGCGCGAUGGAGGAGAGCCUGAUACAGCAAUGCCGCGUAUGUGAAGAAGGUGUUAGGAUGGUAGAGCACUUUAGGUUGGAGGGAAGUGAAGUAAGUUAAUACCUUGCUAUAUUGACGUUACCAGCAGAAUAAGCACCGGCUAACUUCGUG